UACGUAGGGAGCAAGCGUUGUCCGGAAUCAUUGGGCGUAAAGCGCGCGUAGGUGGCUUCGUAAGUCCGUUGUGAAAUCCCUGGGCUCAACCUGGGAAUGGCAGUGGAUACUGGACGGCUAGAAUGCGGUAGAGGGUAGUGGAAUUCCCGGUGUAGCAGUGAAAUGCGUAGAGAUCGGGAGGAACACCAGUGGCGAAGGCGGCUACCUGGACCAGCAUUGACACUCAAGCACGAAAGCGUGGGGAGCAAACAGG
rnacentral:rRNA from 1 species